UACAGAGGGUGCGAGCGUUGUUCGGAAUUAUUGGGCGUAAAGGGCGCGUAGGCGGUGCGGUAAGUCACCUGUGAAAUCUCCUGGCUCAACUGGGAGCUUGCAGGCGAAACUGCCGUGCUGGAGUGUGGGAGAGGUGCGUGGAAUUCCCGGUGUAGCGGUGAAAUGCGUAGAUAUUGGGAAGAACACCGGUGGCGAAGGCGGCUCUCUGGACCGAUACUGACGCUGAGGCGCGAAAGCGUGGGGAGCGAACAGG
rnacentral:rRNA from 1 species